UGAAAACACUGGUUCUCAUUUGAUCACUAAAGUUAAACAGCAUUUAAUGUGGCCAGUACUUAGAUGGGGGACCAUAUGGGAACAUUUGGUACUGUAAG